GGCUGGCUCCUGGGCGGCCCGGACUCUGGUGUGACGGACCUGGGAAGGCCGGGUGCGGGGAGCGAGGGAGCCAGUGUGGGUGGCCUCACAGCCUCUCCGCGGAGCCUUCAAACCCUUUGGCCGGGCCCGCGGGAGAGUCGGCGGAGCUGGCCUUCGCUUUGCUUGGACCCGGCGUCGCAGCGCCUUCCCCGUCCUGUUGGUGGGAGAGGGGUUCUUCGUCCCACCUCAGCCAGAGUGAGAGGGGACGAGGAGACAGACUUUCGGUCCGGGAAACAGUCUCUGGUUUACAAUUGCUGUACCCGGAAGACAGCUGCAGUCAAUGGGAGUCAGCAAGCUAGACGUCCUACAUCAGAAUCUGCAACGCUUAGUUCUGUGCUGGGAGGGGAUUCUUCCCGCUCGGGGAUCGGAGUGUGACCCUGCUGCCGGAGAGCCUGCAGAGUUACGGGUUGUGCAGCCAAACAGGAAAAGAUGUACCUUUCUAGAACUACCCUAUUGCUGUCUUGCACCCUCAGAAAAGAUGUGGAGUGGGCUGCUACCUCCUGGCCUAAAUGAAAGUGAUGUUGAGUUGAAUUCUGAUGAUGAAGCCACAGUAGAGAGCUCUGAACUUAACUUAGAAGAAGGUAAAGAAGAUGGGACCAUUACAAACACAGAGGUCUCAGAUAUCCCUACAGAUGGACCAAAAACUGAAGCAGAGGCAAAUGUAAAUGCAUAUGAAGAGUGUCCCUCUGGAAUUCCCUUAAAUAUGUGGAAUAAAUUUCAAGAACUGCAUACAAAACAUUCUGAACAGAAAAUCUCAACUUCAAGAUCCAGAAAGAAAAAAAGAAAACGCUCCAGAAAAGGUAAAUUGAAGAAUGAAGAAGAAUCUCAAAGUGAACAGUCCUCAAGUGAAACCCAGUUAAAGGAGCUUACUCAGUAUUUUGGAGUCAACGAUAGGUUUGACCCCCCUGUUAAAAGGAAAAAAAUUGAAAAGUCGGGCCUUGAAAAGAGCAUAGACCAGGCUGUGGAAGAAUGGAACAUUGAGAAGGCUGAGGAGCUCAGCAAUCAGCUAGCUACUCGAGAGCAUCCAGCCCAACCCAAGCUCCUUUGCCAGCAGUGAUGCCUGGGACCCAGGCCCUUGUGUGGGCAGAAGUGCUCAAGCCGGGCGGCAGCAGGCCCACACCGCUGGCAUCCUUGUGAAGUGACGGGUCAGUGUGGACCCGCGUUGUUCAACGAAAUCUUCACUGGAAGAGACUAUAACAGAAAGUGCAUUUGCUAUGUACCAACGUUGAUAAACACUGGCACUUAAAGCUGAAUUAAGACACAAAUAUUAAAUGUUGGGGCUUCCCUGGUGGCGCAGUGGUUAAGAAUCCGCCUGCCAAUGCAGGCGACACGGGUUCGAGCCCUGGUCCGGGAGGAUCCCACAUACUGCGGAGCAAUUAAGUCCGUGUGCCACAACUACUGAGCCUGCGCUCUUGAGCCCGCAAGCCACAACUACUGAGGCCGUGAGCCACAUCUACUGAAGCCCGUGAGCCUAGAGCCCGGGUUCCGCAACAAGAGAAGCCACAGCAAUGAGAAGCCCACGCACCGCAACGAAGAGUAGCCCCCGCUCACCGCAACUAGAGAAAGCCCGCGCACAGCA